rnacentral:tRNA from 1 species
GGCCUCGUAGCUCAGCUGGUAGCUGGUGUGCCCCAUGCAAGAGCGUAGGCGUCGUCAAUGCGUGGGUUCGAAUCCCACCGAGGCUA